rnacentral:rRNA from 1 species
UUGAGUUUGAUCAUGGCUCAGAUUGAACGCUGGCGGCAGGCCUAACACAUGCAAGUCGAGCGGAAACGAUGGAAGCUUGMUUCCAGGCGUCGAGCGGCGGACGGGUGAGUAAUGCAUGGGAAUCUGCCCGAUAGUGGGGGAUAACCUGGGGAAACCCAGGCUAAUACCGCAUACGUCCUACGGGAGAAAGCAGGGGAUCUUCGGACCUUGCGCUAUCGGAUGAGCCCAUGUCGGAUUAGCUUGUUGGUGAGGUAAUGGCUCACCAAGGCGACGAUCCGUAGCUGGUCUGAGAGGAUGAUCAGCCACAUCGGGACUGAGACACGGCCCGAACUCCUACGGGAGGCAGCAGUGGGGAAUAUUGGACAAUGGGCGAAAKCCUGAUCCAGCCAUGCCGCGUGUGUGAAGAAGGCCCUCGGGUUGUAAAGCACUUUCAGUGGGGAAGAA